ACAAAAGACAACCAACAAAAAGCAACUGCACAGCAACCAUUCAUGGCUACCUCUCUCUUCUCUCUCCUCCUCCUCUCUUUCCUCUUCUUCCUCCUCCUCCACCCUGUCCCCUCCACAGCUAACAUUCACAAGGCCAACAACCUCCUCAAAUCAAAUCUCCUUGCUGAACCCUCCUCUACUCUUGCUCCCAAACCCCUCAAUGACACACCACUAACUGUUUACUUUGAAGUAACUAAACCCAUCAAUGUCCCCAAGGUUAAACCUUGUGCAUACACCGUUCUCCAACAUGAUUUUGGCUAUACCUAUGGCAAACCUCCCGUUCUUGCAAACUAUACCCGUCCCUCGCAUUGCCCAUCUGAUCACUUCUCCAAGAUUG
rnacentral:misc_RNA from 1 species